rnacentral:rRNA from 1 species
AGACUUUGAUCAUGGCUCAGGACGAACGCUGGCGGCGUGCCUAAUACAUGCAAGUCGAGCGAGCAGAACCAGCAGAUUUACUUCGGUAAUGACGCUGGGGACGCGAGCGGCGGAUGGGUGAGUAACACGUGGGGAACCUGCCCCAUAGUCUGGGAUACCACUUGGAAACAGGUGCUAAUACCGGAUAAGAAAGCAGAUCGCAUGAUCAGCUUAUAAAAGGCGGCGUAAGCUGUCGCUAUGGGAUGGCCCCGCGGUGCAUUAGCUAGUUGGUAAGGUAACGGCUUACCAAGGCGAUGAUGCAUAGCCGAGUUGAGAGACUGAUCGGCCACAUUGGGACUGAGACACGGCCCAAACUCCUACGGGAGGCAGCAGUAGGGAAUCUUCCACAAUGGACGCAAGUCUGAUGGAGCAACGCCGCGUGAGUGAAGAAGGUUUUCGGAUCGUAAAGCUCUGUUGUUGGUGAAGAAGGAUAGAGGUAGUAACUGGCCUUUAUUUGACGGUAAUCAACCAGAAAGUCACGGCUAACUACGUGCCAGCAGCCGCGGUAAUACGUAGGUGGCAAGCGUUGUCCGGAUUUAUUGGGCGUAAAGCGAGCGCAGGCGGAANAAUAAGUCUGAUGUGAAAGCCCUCGGCUUAACCGAGGAACUGCAUCGGAAACUGUUUUUCUUGAGUGCAGAAGAGGAGAGUGGAACUCCAUGUGUAGCGGUGGAAUGCGUAGAUAUAUGGAAGAACACCAGUGGCGAAGGCGGCUCUCUGGUCUGCAACUGACGCUGAGGCUCGAAAGCAUGGGUAGCGAACAGGAUUAGAUACCCUGGUAGUCCAUGCCGUAAACGAUGAGUGCUAAGUGUUGGGAGGUUUCCGCCUCUCAGUGCUGCAGCUAACGCAUUAAGCACUCCGCCUGGGGAGUACGACCGCAAGGUUGAAACUCAAAGGAAUUGACGGGGGCCCGCACAAGCGGUGGAGCAUGUGGUUUAAUUCGAAGCAACGCGAAGAACCUUACCAGGUCUUGACAUCUAGUGCCAUCCUAAGAGAUUAGGAGUUCCCUUCGGGGACGCUAAGACAGGUGGUGCAUGGCUGUCGUCAGCUCGUGUCGUGAGAUGUUGGGUUAAGUCCCGCAACGAGCGCAACCCUUGUUAUUAGUUGCCAGCAUUAAGUUGGGCACUCUAAUGAGACUGCCGGUGACAAACCGGAGGAAGGUGGGGAUGACGUCAAGUCAUCAUGCCCCUUAUGACCUGGGCUACACACGUGCUACAAUGGGCAGUACAACGAGAAGCGAGCCUGCGAAGGCAAGCGAAUCUCUGAAAGCUGUUCUCAGUUCGGACUGCAGUCUGCAACUCGACUGCACGAAGCUGGAAUCGCUAGUAAUCGCGGAUCAGCACGCCGCGGUGAAUACGUUCCCGGGCCUUGUACACACCGCCCGUCACACCAUGGAAGUCUGCAAUGCCCAAAGCCGGUGGCCUAACCUUCGGGAAGGAGCCGUCUAAGGCAGGGCAGAUGACUGGGGUGAAGUCGUAACAAGCUAGCCGUA